rnacentral:rRNA from 1 species
AAGGAGCUUGCUCCUUUGAAGUUAGCGGCGGACGGGUGAGUAACACGUGGGUAACCUACCUAUAAGACUGGAAUAACUUCGGGAAACCGGAGCUAAUGCCGGAUAACAUUUGGAACCGCAUGGUUCUAAAGUAAAAGAUGGUUUUGCUAUCACUUAUAGAUGGACCCGCGCCGUAUUAGCUAGUUGGUAAGGUAACGGCUUACCAAGGCAACGAUACGUAGCCGACCUGAGAGGGUGAUCGGCCACACUGGAACUGAGACACGGUCCAGACUCCUACGGGAGGCAGCAGUAGGGAAUCUUCCGCAAUGGACGAAAGUCUGACGGAGCAACGCCGCGUGAGUGAUGAAGGUUUUCGGAUCGUAAAACUCUGUUAUUAGGGAAGAACAAAUGUGUAAGUAACUGUGCACAUCUUGACGGUACCUAAUCAGAAAGCCACGGCUAACUACGUGCCAGCAGCCGCGGUAAUACGUAGGUGGCAAGCGUUAUCCGGAAUUAUUGGGCGUAAAGCGCGCGUAGGCGGUUUCUUAAGUCUGAUGUGAAAGCCCACGGCUCAACCGUGGAGGGUCAUUGGAAACUGGGAAACUUGAGUACAGAAGAGGAAAGUGGAAUUCCAUGUGUAGCGGUGAAAUGCGCAGAGAUAUGGAGGAACACCAGUGGCGAAGGCGACUUUCUGGUCUGUAACUGACGCUGAUGUGCGAAAGCGUGGGGAUCAAACAGGAUUAGAUACCCU